UACAGAGGGUGCGAGCGUUAAUCGGAAUUACUGGGCGUAAAGCGCGCGUAGGCGGCUUUGUAAGUCGGUUGUGAAAUCCCCGGGCUUAACCUGGGAACUGCAUCCGAGACUGCAUCGCUAGAGUAUGGGAGAGGGAAGUGGAAUUUCAGGUGUAGCGGUGAAAUGCGUAGAUAUCUGAAGGAACAUCAGUGGCGAAAGCGACUUCCUGGACCAAUACUGACGCUCAUGUGCGAAAGCGUGGGGAGCAAACAGG
rnacentral:rRNA from 1 species